UCCCUGAUGGUCCAGUGGCUAAGACUCCAUGCUCCCAACGCAGGGGGCCUUGGUUCAUUUCCUGGUCAGGGAA
rnacentral:tRNA from 1 species